rnacentral:ncRNA from 1 species
GGGCGGAUGCCGGCAGCAUCCCCGGACGACGGUUCAGUACCCGGCACGCGACAAGACUGGCCAGG